rnacentral:lncRNA from 1 species
AAUGUCUGUUAAUGUCUUUUGUGAGUGUUCUAAUUGGCUUGCUUUAUUUCUUUCUGAGUUUGUGAGUUCUUUGUAUAUUCUAGAUAUAAUAGAAUAUUAUCAGAUAUAUAAUUUGCAGAUAUUUUCUCCCAGUCUGUAUCUUGUCUUUUUCAUCCUCUUACAGUCUUUCACAGUAAAAAUAAGUUUUUUAAAAAAUAUUCUUUAGUCAUUGAUGGACCUUUAUUUUAUUUAUUUAUACGUGGUGCUGAGAAUCGAACUCAGUGACUCCUCACAUAUCCCAGUCAAGUGUGCUUACCACUGAGCCACAGCUCCAGCCCGAAAACAAGUUUUAAUAUAUCAAUUUAUUUUUUCAUGAACUGUGCUUUUGGUGCCAAUUUUAAUGGCUAAUGAUGUUGAUUCAGCUCUAAAUUCCAAAGAUUUUUUCCCCCUGUAUUUUCUUCUAAAAGUCCUAUAGUUUUGCAUUUUACAUUUAAGUCUCUAGUUCAUUCUGAAUAACUUUUUAUAGAAAGCCAGAGGCUUAGAUUGGGAUUUUUUUGUGUGUGUGGUUUUGCUUUGUUUUUCUCCAGUUGCUCCUGAACCAUUUGUUGAUUAGACUCUCCAUUCUCCACUGAAUUGCUUUUGUACUUUUGUGAAAAGAUGGUUGGGCCUAUUUGUGAGGCUCUUUUUUUGGGUUCUUUGUUUUGUUUCUGUGUGUCUAUUUCUCCACCAAUAUAUGCUGAAGUCUUUGCAUCACAAACAUGGUCUUGAUUACUGUAACUAAAGAGUAAGUAUAAAAAAUGGGUAAAGCAAUUAGUUCCCCUUUCUUCUUCUUUUUCAAAGCCUUAUGGCUAUUGUCGGACCUUUGCCUUUCCAUAGAGAAUAAACUUUUCUUCGACUUUUUUAAAAGAAAGACUUUUAACCAGUCUCUUAUUUUUGUCCCCAUAUUUUACACUUUCUAAGACUCUACUUCAUCCUACAGAUCUGAGCCUCUAAGAUUGUUUCUCUUUAGCAUUCUUUUGUAGUGCCAAUCUGUUGUUAAUACAUUCUAUUUUUAUUUGUCUAAACAUGCCUACACUUUGUCUUCAUUUUUGGAGCGUAUUUUUUACUGGAUGUAGAAUUCUAAGUUGACCAAUAUUUUCUUUUAGUGCUUUGAAAAACGCCAUUCUACUUCUGACAUCCAUAGUUUUUUGAUAGUCAGGCAUGGUGGCACACACCAAUAAUCCCAGCUGCACAAGAGGCUGAGGCAGGAGAAUGGCAAGUUCUAGUCCAGCCUGGGCAACUUAGCAAAACCUUAUCUCAAAGUGAAAAACAGAAAGGGCUGAGGAUGUAACUUAGUGCACACCUGCAUUCAAUCCACAGUGCUAAACAAACAGAGCAAUAAAUUUGUACCCUAGUGUAAUAUGUUCCCUUUCCCUUAAAAACCGCUUUAAGGAUUUUUCUCUUUAUUCUUUGGUUUUUGGAAGUUUGGCUAUGAUGAAUGUAGGUAUUUGGUCAGCUUUUUUGCUGCUGUGACCAAAAGACCUGAUAAUUUUUUUUUUUUUACUUUUACUUUUAACAGUAAACAUUUACUUUGGGGCUCACAGUUUCAGAAGUCUCAGUCCAUAGAAGGUCAACUCCAUUUCUGGAGGCUCGAGGCGAGGCAGAACAUCACGGUGGAAUAACAUUGCAGAGGAAAGCAGGUCAGGACAUAGCCACCAAGAAGCAGAGAGACGGAGAGACACACAGAGCUCCACUUUUCAGCGACAAAAUAUAAACCCCAAAAGCAUGCUUUUAAGGACCCAUCUCCUCCAGCCACAUCCUGCCCACAGUUACCAAGUUAAUCCUUAUCUGGAGAUUAAUGCACUGAUUAGGUUAAGACUCACAUAACCCAAUUAUUUUACCUCUUAACUUUUUUGCAUUGUAUCAUAUGUAAACUUUUGGGGGGCCACCUAAUAUCUAAACCAUAAGAGUAGAUAUUAUAUUCAUCUGCUUGGGAUACACUUAGGUUCUUGGAUCUGUAGAUAUAUUUCACCAAUUUUGGAACAAUUUCAUUCUUUAUUUCUAAAAACAUUUCUUACCCAUUCUGUAUUAUCCUUUUGGGACACACAUUCUCUCUCUAUUAGACUGUCUGAUAACGUCUCACAAGUUUCAGAUAGUCUUACUCUUUAAUUAUCAUCAUCAUUAUUAUUAUUAUUUACUUUAUGUGGUUUACUUUGUAUGUUAGGCAGCUCUUCAUAGCUGUGACCAAAAUACCUGACAAGAACAACGUAGAGGAGAAAAAUUUUAUUUUGGGCUCACAGUUUCAGAGAUCUCAGUCCAUGGUCAGCCAACUCCAUUGCUCUGGACCUGAGAGAAGACUGAAGAUCAGGGUGGAAGGACAUGGCAGAGGAAAGCUGCUAAGCCCUUGGCAGUCAGGAAGCAGAGCAAGUUCAAAGAGUUGGGGACAAAAUAUAUUAUCCCCAAGGCAUACCCAGUGACCCACUUCGUCCUGCCAUGCCUCACCUGCCUACUGUUAUCAUCCAGGAAUCCACUCAAAUUAUUAAUCCACCAGGUAGAUUAAUCUAUCAGGUGGAUUAAUACACUGAUUAGGCUAUAGCUUUCAUAAUCUAAUCAUUCCACCUCCUGCAUUAAUGUGUGAGCUUUUGUCGGGGAUGCCUCAUAUCCAAACCAUAACACUUUGGGUAUUUUGUAUUGAUUUAACUUUGAGUUUACUGAUCCUUUCUUCCUCUGUGCCCAGUUCUUAGUUAAUACCUUCAAUAAAUUCUUUAUUUCAGAUAUUAUGUUUUCAAUUCCAUGAAGGAUGGAUUCUUUAAGCAUUUCUCUUUCUCUUCUGGAAUUCCCCAUCUACUCAUCCAUUUUAUGUAUUUUCCUCUAAAUCUUUGAAUAUAUUUGUAAUAGUUAUUUUAUAAAAUUACUCUUCAGUAAUUUUGAUAUCUGAGUCUUUUGUGGGUGGGUUUAAUUUGCUGUUUUUCUUAUUGAUUAGGGACCACAUUUUCUAGUAUUUUUUUUCUGAAUGCUAGACAUUAUAGACGAUAUAUUGAGCAGCUCUAGACUAUGUUGACUUUAAGAUUAUUAAACUUUGGGCUGGCAGGCAGUUAAAUUAUUGGUGGGUAUUCUUGGUCUUGUAACUUCUUGGUUUUAGGUCAGGUUUUUUUAAUAUCUGACAAUUUUGGAAAAGUGGAUUAUAAUAAAUCUCGGUGGAAAGUUAUGAAGUAUGUCCUUAGAAUCAAUCUAGAAUCCUUUUCUAGAAUCUGUAGUACCUAAUAGUGCAUUAUGUGAGAAAUUGAAAAAUAGUGGAGACACAGGUUUAUGUGAAUCUAAUGGAUGAGGAUCUAUUCAAAUUCUAGCCCAAUUCCAAUAAUUUUAAUUGUCAUAAUUUUUCUGGAUAGAAGUCUUAAAAACGUUACCUGUUUGACAUAUCUCAUUAAUCACUCCAAGUGAUGUUACCAAUUGUUAAAUCUUUGCAUCACAAAUAAUUAGAUAAGCUUACAAAGAGAUUAUCUGCAAGGAUUUUUUUUUGGCAGUACUGUUUAUAAUACAAAGAGAUAGCCAGAGAGAAAAAUACCCAAAUGUCUUUUAUAGAUGAUUGAUUAAAUAAAUGUACCACAGGUUCUAUACAAUAGAAUGCUAUGCAAAUAAUUUAUUGACCAGCAUAGGAAAAUGUGUUCGUUAUAUAUUAACUGAAAAAAAUUUACCAAACAGUAUGAUCCAUUUUCCAUAAACAGAAGUGUUUAUGUAUGUAUGUAUGUUUGUGUGUGUGUGUAUAUUUAAAUGUUAUUAGAAGUAGGAAAUGGAUAAUUUUUAUUUUAUUUUUUGUUUGCAUUGGGGUUCUCAACACCACCCUCAGGUUUUUUUUAUAUCUUUGUUUAUUUUUCUGUGGUGCUGAGAAUCAAACCCAGUGCCUCACAUGUGCAAGGCAAGUGCUCUGCCACUGAGCCACAACCCCAGCCCCAUUUUCUUACAAUUUAUUAUAGCAAAAGGCUACAGGUUAAAAUCAACAGAGGGAAAAGUCACCUAGGAUGGAGUGCAGGAAAGCCUCUGGUUGUCCUUUCGUAGUGGAGUCACACGGACAGCAGCAUAUGACAGCACAUGGGAAUUGUUGCCAAACAGGGAGGUCACUGGGGCUUUGGUUUUCAGGGCUCAGUCACCUACACAUUCAGUGUCUGCAGGACUAACCUCAGCUACUCAGACUCCAGGUGAAACUGACAUAGUGUGGCCCAAAGUCUCAGGCAUACAAAGCCACUUUCAUUAGGCACUAUCUCCUGAAGGCUUAGAGGCCAUCUUCCGGGAGCUGGGCCCAGGGCCAGUUCUGGAGAUGGAGCAGGGUUUGAACAGCCCAAGCCUGAUGAGUUAACUCUUUACUGUACAAUGCUUUUCUUGUUUCUAGUGUUUUACAAUAACCAGUUAUUAUUUUUAUCACCACAAAUAGCAAACUACUUAUGUUCUGCAGAAGAUGAAAUGUAUCAGUAAUGUUUUUGUAAAUGUCCUUUUAAUAUUGUUAGGUGUUACCAAAUUAAAUCUCUGAAUGACAAGUUUCUGUGCUGCCAGAAGUGACAUCUCAAUAACUAACUAUAGGUGAAAUAUAUCAUUAUGAAGCAACUUUCUUGCCAGGAAUCCCCAGUACUUUACAAAUAGGCUCAUGAAUUCACACCAAAGAAGGCGAGGAGCCAACUCCCUUACUUCAUUCCUAAGAAGGGAAUCUCACUUCAUGGUGCCAAAUGAUCUGAAAGUCAGAAACAGAGAGAUAAGAAACUGACUGCCUGAAGUAUUUGUCGCCCCAGGCACUUGUGAUUCAAAUAACCUAAAACCAUUUAGCUCUGGUGACUAUGUUAUGAAUUAAGCAUGGAACAUUCCAGAAGUCUGACCUGUUUAGAGACUGUCAUUGCCCCACUGUUCAUUGUAGGCAGUUCCCACCAAGGACUCAGACAUCAGCAUAAGCACACACACUCUCUUACCCACAUUCAUCAUUGCCAUGUUGUCUCUCCUUGGCCGGCAAAAAUAAAAGUAGGAAUUGUUUCCUCUGUGCCAAGUCCAUUGCUAGAUGCUUAGAUAAUACUCCAUCAUCACAACGAUUUGGUAAGCUGUGUCAUAUCAUCCCCAUUAUAUAGAUAAGGAAAGUGAGUCUGGAACAUGCCUCAGUACAGUGACUCUGAGGUCUCUUCAUUACACUUGAUGAAGUAAAGACAAUAAAACUGAACUUUCAAAAUUCUCACAGUCCAGCAUUUGAAAAAUGUGUGUGAUAUUCAUUUCAACCUUAUUAUGCAAAAGGAAUAAAUGUGUUAACAUUUUAGGGUCAAAUCUUUUCCCCUCAACUAGAGAAAAUGGACAACAUCACCUAAAUAAAAUUUGUGAGAAAAAGAGAGAAAAUUGCUAGGAAAUAUUCAGCUCAGGGUUGACAAUGCUUCUAUAACAUUUUGAACUUAACUAUGAUUGUGAGUUAAGUUUCAGGGAGUGAUAAAUUCCGAACAAGUAGAUUGAAACUAAAUAAACAGUUGCUACAUCCUACUCACAGCAGUUAAUUAUAGCAAGAACCCAGCUUCCUAGGAAGUAUUGUGAUAAUAAAUUAUAAUUAGUGGUUUGAAGCAGAGAUGCUUUUUUUUCCCCUUUUAAAAAAAAUGAGUAGCAAAGAGCUUUGUUGGAACUGUACCAUUUGAGUUAGAAAAGAGCUGCUGUAUUAAAUUCGUUAUUCUUUUGGCAGCUGAGGAAAACUAUCUGUCAGUCAAGAUUGUGAGUCAAGAGCCUCCCAAAUUAUUCAAACAAGAGAGAAUGAACCUUGUUAAAUGUUCAGGUGUGGAGAGGCCCUUGGAGCCUUGGAAAAUAGUCUGCUUUGCUUAAUGCCGAAUGCUAAUUGAUGGAUUCUUGCUGAUUGCUGUUGGUUUUAAAGCUGUAUUCAGAACAGGCUUUCUCUGCCUUGGAAGAUGUGGCAAUUAAAAAGUGCUUUAAUAUAAGUGAGAAUGGGCUCAGGAGCAGCAUGAUGGCUCCACGAGGACAUCCAAUAUAACGACAGAUGUGGGGCUGCGGAAAGGGCUCAAGGUAGGUAAACAGCUCAAUGCACAGAUUUUUAAACAAAGGCUCAGAGCUCAACCUGUGAGUGCGUGACAGCAGAGAGCUUCCUCCACUCCAUUACUCCCGNUGUAUCAGCUUCUUCUAAUUAUUAAAAAAUAUUUUUUUAGUUGUAGUUGAACACGAUACCUUUAUUUUAUUUAUUUUUAUGUGGUGCUGAGGAUCAAACCCAGUGCUUCACACAUGUUGAGGCGAGCACUCUACUGCUGAGCCACAACCCCAGCCCUCAGCUUCUUGGGUAGAGAGAGCAAGAGCAAGAAAGCAAGACAGCAGAGAUAGGGAGAGAGAGGGAGGGAGGGAGAGGAGUCUUCGAGAAGAUAGCCCAUUCCAGGCCACGCCCCCAGCAAUCUACUUCCUCCAACGAGGGUCCACCUUUCAGGAGUCCUUUCAGCUAUCAAUGGGUUAAGACAUUUGAUGGAUUAAUCCACUGAUGAGGCAGUGCCCUUGUGACCCAAUCAUUGCCUAAAAGCCCCAUCUCUGAACCUUGCUGCCUUGGGUGCCUGGCCUUCAACCCACCAGCCUUUGGGGAGACAGUCUAAAUCCAGACCAUGACAGUCAAAAUCCAGACCAUGACAGUCAUUUUGCCCUUUCGAAAGCCUUUCUGAAUCACUUUAAGUGUGUCUUUUGCAUAAAACACAGCUGGGUCUUGCUCUGUAAGCCAAAUGGAAAAUCAUUUCCUAAUUGUUGAAAUUAAGUCUAUUUAUGUAUAUUACCAUGACGGCUGCAUUUUGUUUCAACCCUGUUAUAUUAUUUUGUUAUAAUUAUUAUGUGCAUUGGAUCAUAUUUUAUUGUGUUUGUCAAUAUUUGUCUUUUCACAUUAAAAUUUUAUUUUGGUUUGAAGAAAGUUUGAAUUUUUAUUCUAUUGGUUUUAUUUAUAUUUAUGUUUUUUAAAAUGUUUGUGGUUUCCUACAUUAAUGUUUAAUUUUAGCCACCUGGUUCAUGUGUGUUUAAUAUUACCCUUCGACUCCCACUUGCUGC